UGCUCUAGUGCGCUUCAUAAUUGUACUAGCGUGCCUUUUUCUUUUGUCACAAUGUAAUCAGUAGAUUGUAAGGCGUGUCGUGUUAUGAUAAUUAAGAAUGAGCUGGAAAACAGUGCAAAGGGCACCAGCGAUGUAUAAAUGUAUGUUCUUUCUUCUUAGUUCAGGGAGGCAGAGCGAGAUUGCAAGAGCUUUAAUAACAUUAGUGUUCAAAAAUCCUCUCGUCUCCCAUGUACCUUUCUUAUCUCAAAACGGUUUGAUAUUGUGAUGAAUGCUAGUAAGUCCUUUUGAGGCAAUUGUGGCAUAGAAGAACCUCCAAUGCCGGUGACAAGCUUGAGGAAGAAGCAGAAGCUUAGUGCACCUUGAAGCUUCAAACCAAGGAGGUCUCUACUGGGCACCCGUACUCUGCAGCCACCAUGCAACCGAAGCUCACGCCCAUACCCUGAAUCUGCGGCAUCUUCCUCAACCUCAUAUUCAACACGCAACAGCGAUAUCAUUUGAGAACAGAUCACCAUCCAUUAAUCACUUGGCACCAUCUUCUUCUUCAGAUCUCUGUAUCAUCUCUCUCUUUCUCUCUCGUUCUCUUUUUCUGGUUUGGGUAGUAACAAACAUAUAGUGGGAAGCUCAUCCAUUCUUCCCCUCACCCCCAAAUUGCUUCGAUCGAGUAUACUGCUGCCACAUUGAAAUUUUCGCCUCUUCAAUGUGCGAUUAACAGAUCUUCUCUACCCAAUUUCAACAAACCGAAAUCAAAUUGUGAGAUUUCCAGCUCAAGAUCUGGAUGGGAAAGGUGGCUGGAAGGAGAAAGGGAGUCUGAGAUGAUCAUGUCCGUGAAUUGGUGAACCAGCUAGAAGAAAAGCAAGGUGGUUGUGAUGACGGUGAGCUGGUGAUGGCGUGUCUGCAAGUGUUCAGAGAGGGAGAGAUGGAGAGAGCCAGCGGGAGAGAGAGAGAGAGAGAGAGAGAGACCAUGGAGUUGGCUACCGCAGAAGUUAGGAGAAGCUUUAAAGCAUCACAAUGGCCGUCACAGGGACGAAAGAAGGGCCACGCGCAGAGGAAGAAGAGGGAUCGAGAUGAUCGGGAAUCCGUGUUAUAGGGGAGUUGGAGCUGGAUAUGGUGAUCUCUGAUGGGUGGCAUGAGGAAGGAGGAGUAGCACGCGGCACAUAGAAGUGGGUGGUGAUGUUGAUCGAGUCAUCCAGAAGAGGAUUGCAGGGCAUGGCCUGAAAGUUGCCUAGGAUCGGUGGAACUGCCGCCUCAGUUCAGCUCACAAUUUGGGGGUUGGUUAAUGGAGUUAUGUCCAACUCAUCCGUCACGUGAAAUUUCCGUCACGGUUGGCACGCACAAGAUGACGACAGGACUAAAACAUCAGACGGAAUGGAGAUUGAGGGACGAAAACAAUGGCAAAAAUUUUUGAGGGACCAAACUCAUGGCUACGGGAUCUUUUAGGGACCAAAAUCACUCCUGACUCAAUUCUCUAUAUGCAUUCAUGUUUCACCCGUCAAGAAAACAUCUUGUCCUUCAAAGCUGGAAAAUACAAUAAUUUGGAGAUCUUUUUGGGUUAGUCUACUAUUAAAAAUUUAAGAGAUAAUCACACUAUA